AACACUUCCCAGUUUUAAAACAACGGAGAAGUCUAAAAUCAACUCUCAGCUGCUUUCAAAGUGUUGGCUCUGACCAUUGGUAACAGCGUCAAUUCCAUAGCAGAAAAUUUAUCUUGGACUAUGUAAUGUAUUUAAUUGCAAGAUGGCUUUUAAAUGGCCUUCUUUCCUUGGGCUGGUGAAAUGGCUGUGAGCAGGGAAACAAGGCUGGACUGAGGCUUUGUUUCCUGCCACAUUAUGUGAAGCUGCAACCCAGAUGAAUAUCUAAAACACACAUUUGCCCAAAGUGGCACCUUUAACCACAAGAAAAAGCAAACAGCAAGGAAUAGAAGGGAAAAUGGCUUCCAAACUAAGCCAGGGAAGAUGAGGUCUACUCUCACAAGGAGCAGGCGGCCUCUGAGCUCCUGAGAGUCAGUUCACUGCUUUAUAUUUAUUCCAAAGCUUCGUCACAGGGACACUGAGUUUGUUUGUCUGCAUCAGAAAAGAGGGCUUAAACAGAAAGCCCAACUCCACUACAGUUAAAGAUCCCCCCAGCACUGCCAAAAGAAAAAAAAUCUUCAAUUAUUGAGCAACACAGAGUGUUAUUUCCAUACUAGCAUGGGUGACAUUUCCAUUCAGUUUCUAUAACUGUGAUUAAAGGCGAGAGAGGUUUCUAAACAUAUCUAGAGAUGUUGAGCCUCCUGGAGUAUAAAUAGCGUGCAUUUCAUAAUCUCGUGUUUAAACAUUUAUUUUAAAAUAACCCCCAUAUACAUUCCAGAGAUGCCUCCCUGCUAUAGAACAUGGAUUGACCCGGGCUUUGCAUAUUGUUUGCAAACUGGGGAAAUAUUACUGCUGACGGAAGCAGCCUUUAUUUUUCCUGUCUUGUAAAAUAAAUAAAUAAAUACCGUGGGCUGCCCUGUGCCAGUGCACCACGUGGAGAUAAAGGAAUCCUGAGGAGCACCUAGGCUCUCAGUGCAGACCCAGAAACACACUGUGACUUGAUUGCCUUUCCUUGGACCUUAACUUCUGGCUGAUGUUUCUAAUUACAUCCCUUACUCUUUCCUGCUACAACUGUAGCUUCUGCAGCUACUAAAAUUCCGAAGUUGUGGAGACAUUGUCAAGUUGUGCUUUUCCCCAGUGUUACUAAUGAUUAGCAACGUGACUUGGUGUGCAAGUUGAACAUUUCAACUGUGAACUCACCAGUGGGCCAGUGGAGAAGUUAAAUGGUGUGUGUUAAGCAUAAGUCUUGUUUGAAACACCAUCAAGGCUGAAGAGUGGAAAACACGUGGUAAACAUAAGCAAAGUAGAGACUGGACGGGAAUAGAUGGAAAGGUAAGGCCAAGCCCAGUUGCAUCUUUUUUUUGUUCUCAGCCCAACUGGAUGUCUAGGUUGCAGAGAUUGCUGAGAAGCAGAGUGGCAGGAUUAAAACCUGAAGUUUUGCCAAGGCAUGGAAUGAAGCUCCCUCCAAUCACCUGUCGCAAGAAACAUUAUCCAGCUUCCUAACCUUAAGGAUGAGACCCUAUCAAUAUUGCCUCUGCUUUUGUGCUCAGGGUAGUAGUGCAAUAUUGCUUAUAGGGUCUUUUCUUUUGAGGGUAUUCUUCAUGGAGAGAAGACAGCCACAUCAGGAAAAAUUAAUCCUAUGUGCCCAUCGAGUUAAGGGAAAAGUUGUGAAAUACCAAGCAUUGUUAGAUAGACAAGUAAUUGUGCAGAGAUGUUAUGUGUGACAAAUAAUCAUGCUAUUGUGGUGACUCAA